rnacentral:rRNA from 1 species
CCUACGGGAGGCAGCAGUGAGGAAUAUUGGUCAAUGGACGAGAGUCUGAACCAGCCAAGUAGCGUGAAGGAUGACUGCCCUAUGGGUUGUAAACUUCUUUUAUAUGGGAAUAAAAUGUUCCACGUGUGGGAUUCUGUAUGUACCAUAUGAAUAAGGAUCGGCUAACUCCGUGCCAGCAGCCGCGGUAAUACGGAGGAUCCGAGCGUUAUCCGGAUUUAUUGGGUUUAAAGGGAGCGUAGGUGGAUUGUUAAGUCAGUUGUGAAAGUUUGCGGCUCAACCGUAGAAUUGCAGUUGAAACUGGCAGUCUUGAGUAGAGGAGAGGUGGGCGGAAUGCGUGGUGUAGCGGUGAAAUGCUUAGAUAUCACGAAGAACUCCGAUUGCGAAGGCAGCUCACUGGACUGCAACUGACACUGAGGCUCGAAAGUGUGGGUAUCAAACAGGAUUAGAUACCCCAGUAGUC